GGGAGGGGGCGCCUUACCGUCCUGUUCAGCGCUCGUUCUCUUAAGACGCAUCAUGGAGGAUUGCGGAGUGGCCCCCUUGGGACGGCGAAGUGUUCGCUUGACCGUGCACUCAUCUACCGCACUAUCAAGCUUGAGGCCUUAUAUGCGUGCCUCUGCUUUGCAUGCGCAGAGUGGUAGAUGCGCACGACGAGGUAGUAGUACACCCGCUGCGGACAUCGUCUCACUAUUGACGCCACGGCAAUCAACACUCUCGGUAUAGACUUGUGGAGUAUAUAUGCGAUAUCACCAGCUCUACGGAUCAAAGCACUUUUCCUUCCAGUAAGGACUCGACCCCCCCGCCUUGAAUCUCUAACUCGUGCCGUACUCCUCUCACCAAGGCGCACGUAUCAGAAUUUUGGUCUGAGAGGAUGAUCCUCCUCCCUGGGCACUGACACGCGGGACCAAUAUCCCUUCGGGAUGUGUCAACUUCGGGGAAUCUUGGACAAAGGGCGCCAGUCUGAUCCCUCCGUGCCGUGUGGGUGCUUAACGACAUAGGCGUUGACUAGCUCUUUCCGAGCGUAAGACAAAGUCAGUACCCGCAAAACAUGUCUCCGGCUUAUCCUUCUGUCAACAGCCACGGCACCACGUAUGGCGUUAGAGUUGCUCUCCACACUCUGGACCUAAAGUGCACAUAGGUCUGAUGCUAUACCCUGUGUGAAAUCCUGGAGCUAAAUUCCCGAACUGCCCUCUGAUUGUGUACGACAUUACUCCGGCAAAAGUGACUGGAAAUGCCAAUGCACAGGUAAACAUCGUAAUUAUUUCCACGAUCACCCUUGGCUUAAGCGACUUUAUGUGCCGUCCCUGACGUUAAACUGCUAAGUCUAGCUAAGCCAUUAGUUUACAC
rnacentral:rRNA from 1 species